rnacentral:rRNA from 1 species
AUUGAACGCUGGCGGCAGGCCUAACACAUGCAAGUCGAACGGUAACAGGAAACAGCUUGCUGUUUCGCUGACGAGUGGCGGACGGGUGAGUAAUGUCUGGGAAACUGCCUGAUGGAGGGGGAUAACUACUGGAAACGGUAGCUAAUACCGCAUAACGUCGCAAGACCAAAGAGGGGGACCCUCGGGCCUCUUGCCAUCGGAUGUGCCCAGAUGGGAUUAGCUUGUUGGUGGGGUAACGGCUCACCAAGGCGACGACCCCUAGCUGGUCUGAGAGGAUGACCAGCCACACUGGAACUGAGACACGGUCCAGACUCCUACGGGAGGCAGCAGUGGGGAAUAUUGCACAAUGGGCGCAAGCCUGAUGCAGCCAUGCCGCGUGUAUGAAGAAGGCCUUCGGGUUGUAAAGUACUUUCAGCGGGGAGGAAGGGAGUAAAGUUAAUACCUUUGCUCAUUGACGUUACCCGCAGAAGAAGCACCGGCUAACUCCGUG